GGUCCGGUGGCGUAGUGGUAACACACUCGGUUCACGUAGCUGGUGGGAAACUGAAAUCAUGGAGUGGAGUUCGAAUCUCCAACGGGCCU